ACGUAGGGGGCAAGCGUUGUCCGGAUUUAUUGGGCGUAAAGAGCGUGUAGGUGGCUGGGUAGGUCCGUUGUGAAAACUCGAGGCUCAACCUCGAGACGCCGAUGGAAACCCUCCAGCUAGAGUCCGGAAGAGGAGAGUGGAAUUCCUGGUGUAGCGGUGAAAUGCGUAGAUAUUGGGAGGAACACCGAUGGCGUAGGCAGGGUACUGGCCUAUUACUGACACUAAGGCACGAAAGCGUGGGGAGCGAACGGGA
rnacentral:rRNA from 1 species